CAGCCGCCGCGGUAAUACAGAGGGUACAAGCGUUAAUCGGAAUUACUGGGCGUAAAGCGCGCGUAGGUGGUUUGUUAAGUUGGAUGUGAAAGCCCCGGGCUCAACCUGGGAACUGCAUCCAAAACUGGCAAGCUAGAGUACGGUAGAGGGUGGUGGAAUUUCCUGUGUAGCGGUAAAAUGCGUAGAUAUAGGAAGGAACACCAGUGGCGAAGGCGACCACCUGGACUGAUACUGACACUGAGGUGCGAAAGCGUGGGGAGCAAACAGGAUUAGAUACCCCAGUAGUCCCUGUCUCUUAUAC
rnacentral:rRNA from 1 species